ensembl:lncRNA
AUGAUUAGUAGCUUGUGAACUGGUUAGUUGUCAAAAAGGGACAUUCUCCGAAAAGUACGAUCUUUGUCCCCAUGUGCAGUUUCAAACCGUAGUCUGGCUUUUUAAUAGCAGUUUUGGAGCAGUGGCUUCUUCCUUGCUGAGCAGCCUUUCAGGUUAUGUCGAUAUAGGACUCGAUUUACUGUGGAUAUAGAUACUUUUGUACCUCUGUCCUUCAGCAUCUUCACAAUGUCCUUUGCUGUUGUUCUGGGAUUGAUUUGCACUUUUUGCACCAAAGUACGUUCAUCUCUAGGAGACAGAACGCGUCUCCUUCCUGAGCGGUAUGAUGGCUGCAUGGUUCCAUGGUGUUUAUACUUGCGUACUAUUGUUUGUACAGAUGAAAGUGGUACCUUCAGGUGUUUGGAAAUUGCUCCCAAGGAUGAACCAGACAAUUUUUUUUCCGAGGUCUUGGGUGAUUUCUUUUGAUUUUUCCAUGAUGUCAAGUAAAGAGGUACUGAGUUUGAAGGUUUUGCGUACCCAAAGAAUUAUCUUGACACAAUCACACAGGACGAGACUGAGCAUCUAAGGCAGCAUUCAUCUGAUGAAGAGGAUUUCUUCUCAUCACUGACAAACAAUCAGUCAGAAGAAGUUGUCCCUCAAACUCAACACAGGCCUGCCUGCAUCUGCCGCCUGUGAACGUCUUUUCAGCUGUGCUGGAAUACUCUACACUGCAAAGCGGGCCAGGAUAGACUCAAUUAAAUUAGAAAAUCAGCUACUACUGAAACUGAAUGGCAACUUCAGAGAGAAGUGAAGUGAGUUAAGUGUUCGAUAGGUAGUUCCACAAAAAAUAUGCCUUUUGAACAUUCAUUUGAACCUUUGUGUAUGUAAAGUUGAAGAUUUAAUAUUAAAAUCAGCUGUGCUGGAUCUUAUCUUGUUGGUUAUUUUCUGGUGUUUUAUGGAACAUUUACCCUGUCAAGCAUUAUAUGUAAACAAUAUUACAUAUACAGUAGUAUCUAGAAAAGUAAAAAAUGUUGAUAUUCAUUUGUUUGUGAAGCUUGCAUUCAAUUGGCACACCCUUUUCACAUGAACUUCCAUUCUUGUAAAAGGAGAAAAAAAAUAAACAUCAAAAUUGAAAUAGCAAAUUAUUUUAGAAGUAGUAACAUUUACUCUUGAGUACUUUUUAAAUGUGCUACUUUUUACUUUUACUUUAGUAGUUUUUUUUUACACUUGUACUUUUACCUCUACUUGAUUACAAUUUCAUUAAAGUAACAGUAGUUCUACUUGAGUAGGAUUUUACAGGACUUGUCUGUACUUGGCUUCACGAUUGAUAUUUUUGACAACUUUUCACAACAUUCCUAAAGAAAAUGAUGUACUUUUUACUCCAUACAUUUUCCCUGACACCCAAAAGUACUCGUUACAUUUUGAAUACUUAGCAGGACAUUGCCUAAUUCACAUACAAAUCAAGAGAACAUCCCUGGGCAUCCCGACUGCCACUGAUCUGGCAGACUCACUAAACACAUGCUUUGUUUGUAAAUUAUGUCUGAGUGUUAUGUCGGAGCAGUCCCCUGGCUAUCCGUAAAUGUAAAAAAUAAAAAUAAAAUGAUGCCGUC